GGCCUGUCUUGCGCCUGGGGCCCCUUCUCACAGCCCGAGCGUCUGAGACUGAAUGCGGCACCCUGAGGAGGAUCAGUCUCUUCUGAUGCUUCUCUCGUUUUCCUCUAAAGGGUGAGAGCUUCGGGAAAGGAUCUGAUCCUGGAGGAACCUCCGGUCAUGGAGAUAAAGACUCUGGAACUGAGUCCGUCGGAGAGAAACGAGAUGAGACUCCUUGGAUUAGAGACCAUCCCAAGGGCAUCUUUGGGAGCCAUGAGCUGCAGAUGGCCAAGCCACAGAUGGAAGGAGCUUCAUCUCUUGGGUCACCACUGGAGAACAAAUUCUUCCAAUGGAUUUGGAGAAGUCUUCUCAGAUAUCCACUUCUGAGUUCCAUUUGUAAUCCACUUCUUUUAUUCUCCCAGCACUCAGUGUCGUUUGGGGGAAAUUCUAGAUUCUUGUAAUAUCUUGGUCAUGGGUAAAUAAGGAAGGGGCCUUUACACACACAUGAGACAAACCAGAUCAGGAUGAGCAAAGCAGCCUGAGAGCAGCAAGACCCCAAAGGGUAAGGAAAGUCCUGCAGAAGAGCAGAGCGGUGGUACAGAGGGAGGUGGGCAGUGCCUUCAGGAUGGAUCCUCAGGGAAUGCCAGCAUCCACCAAGCACUGGCAGAAUGGUUUAGAGAAACCGAUAAAAAGCUCUGCCAAUCACAGUCACAAAAGAUGGGGCUCAGAAUGAUGGGUAAAUCAGGGAUUCACAUCUCCAUUUUAUUGAUGAAAAAAUUCGGGGUGAUAGUAAAAUGUUUGCCUUUGUACCUAGCACAGUAUAUGGUUCGUAGUACAUGCACAAUAAAUAUUUGUAGAAUGAA